rnacentral:rRNA from 1 species
UAAUCAUGCAAGUCGAGGGGCAACAGGUCCCGCAGCAAUGCGGGAUGCUGGCGACCGGCAAACGGGUGCGGAACACGUACGCAACUUACCCUUCACUGGGGCAUAGCCCGGGGAAACCCGGAUUAAUGCCCCGUACGAUAAAGAGAAGGCAUCUUCUUUUUAUGAGAGAUUUAUUUUGGUGAAGGAUGGGCGUGCGGCUGAUUAGGUGGUUGGCGGGGUAACGGCCCACCAAGCCCACGAUCAGUAACUGGUGUGAGAGCACGACCAGUCACACGGGCACUGAGACACGGGCCCGACUCCUACGGGAGGCAGCAGUAAGGAAUAUUGGUCAAUGGACGCAAGUCUGAACCAGCCAUGCCGCGUGAAGGAUGAAGGUCCUCUGGAUUGUAAACUUCUUUUAUCUGGGACGAAACCCCCUAAUUCUUUAGGGACUGACGGUACCAGAGGAAUCAGCACCG